UACAGAGACUGCAAGCGUUAUUCGGAUUCACUGGGCGUAAAGGGUGCGCAGGCGGCCAAGUGUGUUAGGCGUGAAAGCCCGGGGCUUAACCCCGGAAUUGCACCUAAAACUACAUGGCUAGAGCAUUGGAGAGGGUAGCGGAAUUCACGGUGUAGCAGUGAAAUGCGUAGAUAUCGUGAGGAACACCAGAGGCGAAGGCGGCUACCUGGACAAUUGCUGACGCUCAGGCAGCGAAAGCGUGGGGGAGCAAAAGGG
rnacentral:rRNA from 1 species